rnacentral:lncRNA from 1 species
GAGGUGCCACUGUAUCAGGGACAUACCACAGCUGGCGUAAGAACCUCUAGCCUGGAGUCUGAGUCUGAAGGGAGAUUCCAGAUGGUGAUGUGGAGUCCUUGAUCUAAUUCUGCUUCCUUAGAGGGGGGGCAAGAUACCCCACAGGUCUGUGGCUUUCAGAUCAUUGGCGAGAAACUUCUGGGAGCCAGAGCCGGCUUUCCUUCUGAUGAAGAAGCAACUCCAGAUUAGCCUUGAGCUAACAUCUGCUGUCAAUCCUCCUCUUUUCGCUGAGGAAGACUGGCCCUGAGCUAACAUCCAUGCCCAUCUUCCUUUACUUUAUAUGUGGGACGCCAACCACAGCAUGGCUUGACAAGCGGUACAUAGGUCUGCACCAGGAAUCCGAAAAGGUGAACCCCAGGCCGCCAAAGCGGAAUGUGUGAACUUAACUGCUGCGCCACCAGGAGCCGUGGGUGUGAAAGCCACAGGGACGCAGCUGCCCCUGGAGGAAGCUAGCCGACAUCCUGUGGAUUUGAAAAGAAAACUGAAAGUGCUUUUCUUCACGAGAAACUAUUGAGUCUGACACACAGAGAUCAUGCAACUUACCUGAGGACUUACAGCAAAAUCAGUCAAAGGCAGAAGAUUUCGUCUG